AUGAAACUCUGUCAUCAAGAAGCUAUUGGACACCUAUAUGGACAUGCAUUUACCUCUCUGUCCAGUGCAAUUAAUUAUAAAUGUCUGUGGAAGAAUAGAGAGAGGAGGGAGGAAAGGAAGAGUAGAUUGUUCUGUGUCUUUCAGUUAAAACACACAGCAAAGCCUGACUUAAGUGGCACGGAGUCAUAAUAAACAUUACAUGGGAAGUUUAUAAAAGGAUGCAGUCACAGUCACAAGCGUCUUGGUCAGAGAGGGCUCCAUGGUGAAGAAGAAUUCAGCAGAUCCUGACUUAUGGUUAGUGUCCAUGGAGGGGUCUUGCUGGGCAAGGAUGGGGAAAAGAUAAAGAUUCUUCAUUUAGGAAAAGUAUAAGUCAGAGAAGCCAGAAUGAGCAAGAAAUGAUUGGGGAAUAAGAAGAGUAGUAUGUCCAGAGGUCAUGCAGGGGAUAUGGCCUGAUCAAGACAGAUCCUGGAUGGCUUGAAAUUUAUUCAUUCAAUAAAUAUUUACUUGAAUACCUACUAUAUAUAAAGCACUUAGCU
rnacentral:lncRNA from 1 species